GAAAUUUUAUUGGUAUUAUUUUUCGCUUUCAAGAAUACACUUUGCUUUGAAGAUGAACAUUUUCAUCAAGUUUUUCUCUACGAGAAUUUUUAGAAAAAUGUCAUAAUAUUGUUAUUAUUUCUCUAAGAUUUUGAUUGUAUUCUUUGUUUGUGAAUUUGCAAAUUUGUAUAUUGCCAAAGUUUUCCUUCUCCUUUUAUUUUUGCACCAUGCUUUCUGCCAAUUUAUUCUUAUUUUUCAAUUGUUAUGUUGUUCAUACUUGGGAAUGGCAAGUGUUAUUAUGAUUAGGUUGUGGAGUUUUACACAGGGAUAUGUGUAUGUCAACUGAUUUUGAGGUUGGAGGGGCCAUCAUUUUAUUAUUUAUAAUAUGUAAUGGCCACAUCGGAUUUUUCCCAAGCAGAUACAAAUGCUCUUUUCACAAUAUUAUUUCAUGAUUUCAUGAGUUUUUUUUCUCAUGGUCUACUAGGGACUGUUAUACAAAGAUUGUGGGUUGGUACACACAAAAUGCAUCAGGUAUCAUAUUUCGGGUUUCAUAUUUUUGUCUCUUUUAGAUUUAUUUUUAUUUUCAUUACACGGAGUUUGUUGACAGCUAAAUAGUGCUGGACAGUUGCAAAAUGUAGCAACUUCCUUACAGGAGGAGUUUUGGAACUCAAUGGACGCAGCAAUGAAAAAGCAUGGCAAGCUUUCUGCUGAGAUCAUUAAUUAUGUGAGUCGGGAGUUUUUGCUUUAAGGGGAACAAUAUGGUUCUUCGUUUUUACUUUUUGCUUUAUUUUGUUAUGUCCAGAACAUAUACAACUGCGUAUCAGACUAUUUUGAUAUUUAUCUGGCAGGUCAAAGCUGAAAUUUCUCAACUGGAUAGAUGAAAGGCAGCAAAAUGAAGGAACUCGUUUAAAAAAGGUAAGGCAAAUUUAGAAUAUAUUUGUAGGAAGCCACAAUUGGUUCCAAAAAUAACCUGUUUUGGUAAAUUCUUUACGGCCCUUUUUCUUUGUCUUCCUUUCGUUGUUUUUGUUGCGUAAUCUGUUCGCAACUUUUCUUUUCAAUUGGAGAGGGGCAGUUUGGUCUCAGUUGCAUCAGAGCAUUGCACAUCUGUCUUUUUCUUCAAGUCGUAUCUCUCUGAUAAGGUAUUAGAUUAAUUUUUUUGGGGCCUCUUUCACAAUUAUUUCAUUGUUUUCAUUUUAUGCAAGUGCUGUCUAUUGUAUGCCUCCCAUGGUAGUGCAGAGUCUUUUAAUAUAUGAUGCUGUCCUACAAUGCUAUUCAAAUAUUUUUUAUCGUAAUGAUGCACUUGUAUAAGUUGAACAAAUCUGUGUUUAGUUAGGCAACACUUAUACAAAUCCAUAUAAAUGCAUCUCCUGACCUUUUUUUUGAACUAUGCAACAUGUCGAAUACGUGCGGGCAACGCACGGGCACCGCGCAAGCCGCGGUGCUCCAUACCUA
rnacentral:lncRNA from 1 species